rnacentral:rRNA from 1 species
UACGGAGGGUGCAAGCGUUAUCCGGAUUCACUGGGUUUAAAGGGUGCGUAGGUGGGUCUGUAAGUCAGUGGUGAAAUCCCCGAGCUUAACUUGGAAACUGCCGUUGAUACUAUAGAUCUUGAAUAUCGUGGAGGUAAGCGGAAUAUGUCAUGUAGCGGUGAAAUGCUUAGAUAUGACAUAGAACACCAAUUGCGAAGGCAGCUUACUACACGAUCAUUGACACUGAGGCACGAAAGCGUGGGGAGCAAACAGG